rnacentral:lncRNA from 1 species
AUGCAAACGACAAUCACAUCUCAUCUGAACUUGAAGCUUGGGAACAACAAGAUCAGCUUCUACUCGCGUGCCACGCAAGUAGGUUGCAAUCCCUCAUUUCUCUCGACAUGCUUCGCCGUGUCAUUGGCUGCAAAAAUUCAUGGACGCUGUGGGAUAAAAUCCAUGCCUACUUUCAGCAGCACACCCCCCAAACAGAACUUCAAAUAUCACUCUUUAGUUUGUAGUCGAGACACUGUAGCUGUGCUGCCAUUGAAACCAUGCAAGCAGGUACUAAAACAUGGGUGUGGAGAUUCCCACAUCAGAUUUAUCCUAUUGUAA